rnacentral:rRNA from 1 species
AGAAUCAACGCUGGCGGCGUGCCUAACACAUGCAAGUCGAACGAGAAAGGGGAGCAAUCCCUGAGUACAGUGGCGCACGGGUGAGUAACACGUGACUAACCUACCCUGGAGUGGGGAAUAACUGAGGGAAACCUUAGCUAAUACCGCAUAAUACCUACGGGUCAAAGGAGCAAUUCGCUUCAGGAGGGGUCGCGGCCGAUUAGUUAGUUGGCGGGGUAAUGGCCCACCAAGACAGUGAUCGGUAUCCGGCCUGAGAGGGCGCACGGACACACUGGAACUGAAACACGGUCCAGACUCCUACGGGAGGCAGCAGUGGGGAAUUUGCGCAAUGGGGGAACCCUGACGCAGCAACGCCGCGUGGAGGAUGAAAUCCCUUGGGAUGUAAACUCCUUUCGAUCGGGACGAUUAUGACGGUACCGGAAGAAGAAGCCCGGCUAACUUCGCGCCAGCAGCCGC